UUGACCACAGUUACUCACAAACAGUACCUCUUACACUCUCGAUUGUUUUUAAUGGCAAACUUCCAGGAAUUACCUGCCAAGAGCUUAAAGCCAUUGAGAUGUCAAGAACGCGAAGGACUGAACGAUGUUAAAUACUGCAGGAAAAACUCAUUCUCACACUGAUAAGAACGAGCCCUCCCGCUCUCCCAUGGGCAAUGGUGAAAGUUUGGGGCCGAAGCGACCGCUGGUGUUUGAAGCCGCCGGGCCCUCGUCCCCAUCGCCGGGCUUCAAAGACGAUCCGGGCCACAGAUGCACCGUUAACCUGGAGAUUUAAACAAGAUAACGACGCGAAAGAGAGGCGGCGACGACUGAAAAUUCAUUAUUUGCGAAGAUCACUAGUUCCUGUUAAGAGCGGCUGAACGCGGGAGCCCAAAUGCGCGCCGGAGAGACGUGUCGCUGUUUGUCAUGCCGAGAGAGAUGCAUUGCGAUUUGCACAGGAUGUGUGAAGCCUCACCCCCCGUCCCGUUCCGUUCCGCCACUUCAGGGGCCCGGCCGCGUCCACGCACACCCAUCCUUGAUGUGGGGACGAGAAACAUCUUUUAUCACCAUUGUGCGGUGCGGCGCGCGCGGUCCAGAUGGAGGGAUAAAACAUGCAUGAGUCGCCCGCAGCUCUGAAAAUAAUUAUACUCAUUUACCAGAGACAGAGAGAGUGCAUCCAACCAAGUCACCACCCAUCACAGAGACGAGCUCCCAGCAUACUAAUGAAGACGCGAGACAAUGACUGACCACCGGAGAAAUGGCGAGCGCGCGAGAGAAUGCGCGCCCGUAACUUUUAAGAAGGGGUGAGGGAAAGUGAGUGAGAGAGAUAGACAGGUGUCCGGCUCGACUCGGGAGGAGUUUAACAGUGCCGUAGUUGUCCUUAAAAUGAUAUUUCACCCGGUAAUGAAAACCCUCAGAAAAUGCAUGCACCCGUUCAUGAAGACGAGUUUGUUUCUUCAUCAGAACAGAAUUGGAAAAAUGUAGCAUUGCAUCAAGUUCCACACCGAUCCGGUCCGUCUCAUGAAGUCAAAAUCUGUGUGCUUUUAAGAAACAAAUCGGUUUUUAGCUUUAAAUAAACUCCUAAUUUAGAUGUGACAUGCCAUUAAAACAAUAUUAUGGAUGGUUUGUCCAUAAAAUGUA